GGGCGAGUGGCGGAAUGGCAGACGCGCUGGCUUCAGGUGCCAGUGUUCGCAAGGACGUGGGGGUUCAAGUCCCCCCUCGCCCACAA
rnacentral:tRNA from 2 species